UUCCCGGAGCCUGGAUUAACUGCCCUCACGCAUCGAUUCACUGCACCCUAUCCCCGGAGUGACUCCGUGCUUUCGUUUCCUUUAAAGAUCACCAAGUAUAGCUUCUACGUCGUAGCGCAAAAAUACAGUACAAGAGUACGAACUUCCUCGUAGGUGAAUGCUCUGCACGGGCAUUGCGAUCGGAACGACGAUUAUCGUAUCUUGGAAAGGCUUUGUUUACGCUUCGCGUACAGUGAAACGUCGGAUCGUGAAAUUUCGCAAUGUGUACUGGCCUUAACCUUCGGCAUUUUAUCGCUCAGCUAAAACCCAGCGACGUGUCGCGGUUUCCUCGUUAAAUCGCCAUAACGCUCACGUUUAUCCUCUCGGUCGGCGCCAUUUGGAGAAAUCGUCACUUUGGAACACGAAGUACGCAUGGAAGACGCAGAUACGCUUUGAGCCGGCUUACUAACGCUUACUAACGCUUACUAACGCUUACUAAUGCGUCCACGUGCUCGCGAUACGAAUAUGGAAAUUUACAGGCAGAAGCGACAAAGUCGUGUUCCUGACAAUCGAUGCUCCUCGUCAAUGAACUUUCAUCGCGCCAGGGCACGUUACUCGCACGUCGAGCACCUUCGCCACGUCAGCGUCUUGCAUAACGUGGACGCGACGACCUGUCGUCCGGGCUAUUCUCAUGACGCGCAUUUAAGCCACGUGAUACUAAAGUUUGAUGAUACAGCAACACUUGUCCUGGCGUCGCGCGUCGCGUGGGAAUAAUAAAGGAAAAUAAAGAAAUAAUAAAAAGAACGUCGCGGCUGAAGCCGAUGACUCCGUCGUCGCCCUGUGCGAUAAUCGACGGUUCCAUCCCCCCCCAUUCCCCCAUUCCCCCUUCUACCCCUGAGCCGGCAUCGUGCGCAGACAUCCUGGCAUCAAAUAUCCGAUGACGACUCUCGCCCCAUCCGGCUCGCAUCAGCUCCUUUGCAAUUCAAGGCUUCGCGCUUUAACCAUUUAUCGAUCCUCUUCUUAAAAAAAACCAUAGGCGCACGUACGAAUGACCCUUUACAUAUUUUAUGUUCUCCUUACGCCUUGGAACGGCAUACUUCGAUCAGGAGCAUUAUUGCGAGUAUCCUGUCACUUGUGCGCACACCUUUUCCUAUCGUUAUUCUUGGCAACGUCAUCGGCACGUUUGGCUAUAGUUACUCCGGCACUUUGCUACAGGAUGGUAAAGCUUCGAGCCUGGUACCUGCUAUCUCGAAUUUCACUUUUCUUUGUUUCGAAGCAACCCCUCGCCGUUAGGUUAUAGUGGCCAGUCGACCAGCCGACCAGCCAACCAGCCAACCAGCCAACCAGGAACACCUGACGCCAGGUCUCGUGUGUACCUGUGGCAGGUGAAUCGAGCAGUCAGGUGCCACAACAGAUGGGGGCGCCUCCACUCAAGAAAACGUUAUAAACGGUCUAUCAUAAAAUGUUGUUAUGGGAGCAGUGGAAGCAACGGACGACGAUUGGUUCUCGAUGAUUUUCGCACAAGACGCACGAGACGCACGAGACGCUCGAGUCUCGUAUGGCGCGUCGGAAUUUCGGAAGGAAGCGAAGCAGUCUGGUCCCUUCUGGGCGCCUAAUGCCUCUAGCUGGUAAACAGCAGCUGGUAGUUUGGAUUAUGGUCCGAUUAGAUGGGAUCCUAGUCGCUCCUGGUGGAAGUGUUAUCGGUGGGGAAUCGCAGCUGUUUCCUGUUUUGGGCCCAGGCUCCUCUUUGUCAAUGAGUGCGUUUCUCCUGGUAGGGUCUAAUGGUAGCUGCUCCUUAGGGCGAUCUCGAUCCGGAGUAACUGGGACAAAUUGGGCCCUUCCAAGGAGCCACAGAAGGAAUGUCCUAACGAGCCGAAGGAUGGGCCCGAGUAUGGCUACCUGUAAUAGCUGCUAAUGGAAAAUGUUUACAAAUUUUGUCUCAAUCUAUAAAUAAAGGUAGAUCAUUCUGUAUCCUAUGUUAAACGUAUCCACGGAUCCUUCGAGGCGAACGAGCAGCACUGGGAGUUCCGGAACCAUCGACGGGGACUAUCUACAUAGGUGGAUGGUUCCUGGGUUCUCAAGCAAUUGACGAGAGUGCUGAAGGUCCAAGUAUCAGGAACGAGGAGGAUUUCCUUAUUCGUCUGGGAAUUCACGUCCCAGCUAGACUUUUAGGAUGUCUUUACCCAUUUUCAUAUAUUCCUCCAGCAAUGCUGCCAACUUUGCUCAUCUUUCGUUGGCAGCACGUCGCUCCUAGGUGCUGCCAUUACCGAGGUCAGUGGUUCUCAACCUCUUCUUUUAUU